ACCCAGCUGACAAGUCCCAAAUAGGACGAAAUGCGCUUUAUCCUGGAU
rnacentral:hammerhead_ribozyme from 1 species